GGACUACAGGGGUAUCUAAUCCCGUUUGCUCCCCUAGCUUUCGCACCUCAGCGUCAGUCAUGGACCAGAGAGCCGCCUUCGCCACCGGUGUUCCUCCUGAUAUCUACGCAUUUCACCGCUCCACCAGGAGUUCCGCUCUCCCCUACCAUCCUCUAGCACCGCAGUCUGCCAGGCAGUUCCACGGGUAAGCCGUGGGAUUUCACCCAACACUUGCGGCGCCGCCUACGUGCGCUUUAAGCCCAGUAAUUCCGAACAACGUUUGCACUCUCUGUAUUACCGCGGCUGCUGGCAC
rnacentral:rRNA from 1 species